rnacentral:rRNA from 1 species
UUUUAAAUUUAGAGUUUGAUCCUGGCUCAGGACGAACGCUGGCGGCGUGCUUAACACAUGCAAGUCGAGCGAUGAAGCUUCCUUCGGGGAGUGGAUUAGCGGCGGACGGGUGAGUAACACGUGGGUAACCUGCCUCAAAGUGGGGGAUAGCCUUCCGAAAGGAAGAUUAAUACCGCAUAAUAUAAGAGAAUCGCAUGAUUUUCUUAUCAAAGAUUUAUUGCUUUGAGAUGGACCCGCGGCGCAUUAGCUAGUUGGUAAGGUAACGGCUUACCAAGGCAACGAUGCGUAGCCGACCUGAGAGGGUGAUCGGCCACAUUGGAACUGAGACACGGUCCAGACUCCUACGGGAGGCAGCAGUGGGGAAUAUUGCGCAAUGGGGGAAACCCUGACGCAGCAACGCCGCGUGGGUGAUGAAGGUCUUCGGAUUGUAAAGCCCUGUUUUCUAGGACGAUAAUGACGGUACUAGAGGAGGAAGCCACGGCUAACUACGUGCCAGCAGCCGCGGUAAUACGUAGGUGGCGAGCGUUGUCCGGAUUUACUGGGCGUAAAGGGUGCGUAGGCGGAUGUUUAAGUGGGAUGUGAAAUCCCCGGGCUUAACCUGGGGGCUGCAUUCCAAACUGGAUAUCUAGAGUGCAGGAGAGGAAAGCGGAAUUCCUAGUGUAGCGGUGAAAUGCGUAGAGAUUAGGAAGAACACCAGUGGCGAAGGCGGCUUUCUGGACUGUAACUGACGCUGAGGCACGAAAGCGUGGGUAGCAAACAGGAUUAGAUACCCUGGUAGUCCACGCCGUAAACGAUGGAUACUAGGUGUAGGGGGUAUCAACUCCCCCUGUGCCGCAGUUAACACAAUAAGUAUCCCGCCUGGGGAGUACGGUCGCAAGAUUAAAACUCAAAGGAAUUGACGGGGGCCCGCACAAGCAGCGGAGCAUGUGGUUUAAUUCGAAGCAACGCGAAGAACCUUACCUGGACUUGACAUCCCUUGCAUAGCCUAGAGAUAGGUGAAGCCCUUCGGGGCAAGGAGACAGGUGGUGCAUGGUUGUCGUCAGCUCGUGUCGUGAGAUGUUAGGUUAAGUCCUGCAACGAGCGCAACCCUUGUUAUUAGUUGCUACCAUUAAGUUGAGCACUCUAAUGAGACUGCCUGGGUAACCAGGAGGAAGGUGGGGAUGACGUCAAAUCAUCAUGCCCCUUAUGUCCAGGGCUACACACGUGCUACAAUGGUAGGUACAAUAAGACGCAAGACCGUGAGGUGGAGCAAAACUUAUAAAACCUAUCUCAGUUCGGAUUGUAGGCUGCAACUCGCCUACAUGAAGCUGGAGUUGCUAGUAAUCGCGAAUCAGAAUGUCGCGGUGAAUACGUUCCCGGGCCUUGUACACACCGCCCGUCACACCAUGAGAGCUGGUAACACCCGAAGUCCGUGAGGUAACCGUAAGGAGCCAGCGGCCGAAGGUGGGAUUAGUGAUUGGGGUGAAGUCGUAACAAGGUAGCCGUAGGAGAACCUGCGGCUGGAUCACCUCCUUUCUA